UGGGUGUGGAGAGAGCAGAGCGCCUGAAGAAUGGCUUCUCUGUGUACAACACAUCCAACAGCAACAAAUGUCUAACAAUAGGGAAUUGUUUAUAAAAAUUAUAUUGACUGUUGUAAAACCCUUAAGU
rnacentral:snoRNA from 1 species